AGUGAACGCUGGCGGCAGGCCUAGCACAUGCAAGUCGAACGGCAGCACAGAGGAGCUUGCUCCUUGGGUGGCGAGUGGCGGACGGGUGAGGAAUACAUCGGAAUCUGCCUUAUCGUGGGGGAUAACGUAGGGAAACUUACGCUAAUACCGCAUACGACCUACGGGUGAAAGCGGAGGACCUUCGGGCUUCGCGCGAUAAGAUGAGCCGAUGUCGGAUUAGCUAGNGGCGGGGUAAAGGCCCACCAAGGCGACGAUCCGUAGCUGGUCUGAGAGGAUGAUCAGCCACACUGGAACUGAGACACGGUCCAGACUCCUACGGGAGGCAGCAGUGGGGAAUAUUGGACAAUGGGCGCAAGCCUGAUCCAGCCAUGCCGCGUGUGUGAAGAAGGCC
rnacentral:rRNA from 1 species